GCAACGUGCGGUGACUAGAAAUUAAUGUGGAUGAAGAAAUUUUUUCCAGUACUUAGCGGGUAUUAAUGAAGCCGCUAAGAUCUUCUAUUAGAAUAUCAGUAGCUUUUUGUUAAUUAAGGCAGCAACUCAAGCUUGUGUGCCAUAUUUAAGUUUGUGGCAGCGGUUGAGAUUAAUAAGGACUUUAAAUCCAGGACAAUAUACAAAUUCUCAAUUAUUAGUGUUUGUUCAAAAUAUCUCUACUGAAGGAAAUUGAACACAAAUCGAAAAAGAAAAAGCACGACAUUUUCCGAAGUGAACAACUGUGCAGAAAAGCCAUAUUUUUGGAUAUGAAACGAUUUUACUUAUUUGAUUUUCAAGGAUAGUAUUACUAAUACUGCUUACGAAAGUGUUAAAUAUUUUAUUAGUUAAAAUUACUCAAGGAAAAUAUCGGAAUUGAUAUCGUAGAAGAAGCCCGAAAUUCAAAUAAGACCCAAUAGAUUGCAAUUCCGGUGGAAUCUCGUAGAUUGUCGAAACUUGCAGGAAGCUAUAACUAGGCGGGCAACCUGGUUGAAAGUGGCAAGGAGAGGAAUGUGAUUAUUGAAAAAACUAGAACCGGCAUGCAAGAUUUGUCCGUAAUGCUCAUGAAAAUUGACGAAUCAUAGCAUUAAGUCGAUUAAUUAAUUUGGAAAAGUCGGGAAACCAGAAGCUUGACGGUUCAG